rnacentral:rRNA from 2 species
AGUAGGGAUUUAUUUCUUGAAAUCUAAAAUAUAUGGCGGUGUCUUAUCCAUUCAGAGGAACCUGUUUCGUAAUUGAUAGUCCACGAUUUAAUUUACUUUAAUUUUUAACUUGUAUAUCGUUGUGAUAGAUUAUUUUAUUAAAAUUAAAAAUAGUCAAUAUUUUGAAUUAAACUUAAAUCAGAUCAAGAUGCAGUUUAUAUUAAAGAGUUAAAUGGGUUACAUUAAAAAUAUUUUUGGUUUAUUAUUUUUAAUUUUAGUAAUAAAUUGGAUUUGAAAGUAAUAUUAUUUAAAUAUUUUAUAUGAUUUUGGGUCUAAAACAUGC